rnacentral:ncRNA from 3 species
ACUCACCUGCCGAAUCAACUAGC